GGGGAUUCUUCUCUCUGUACGAACGACUCUCCGGAACCGCAGUCCAUCUCCGACUGUCGAAAUUUCUCUCUGUGUUCCGUUCUUCAUCGCGACUCCGGUUCUGUCAACGAUCAUCGUUGCUACAUUGGUGCUUUCAUCGUGGACUCUUCGUCGAGUGAAACAUGAUUGGUCGGGAACGAUCGUGUAAAAAUUCAAAUUUUCCAAGGCACGUCCCAAAUUUUGAUUGGGUCUUCAAUAGGGG
rnacentral:lncRNA from 1 species